rnacentral:rRNA from 1 species
ACGUUGGCGGCGUGCUUACACAUGCAAGNNNNAACGAGAAAGUUUUCUUCGGAGAACGAGNAAAGUGGCGCACGGGUGAGUAACGCGUAAGUAAUCUACCCUUGCAUUCGGGAUAACUACGGGAAGCUGUAGCUAAUACCGGAUACGUUCAUAGAGUUACGACUCUAUGAAGAAAGAUGACCUCUUCUUGAAAGUUAUCGUGCAGGGAGGAGCUUGCGUACCAUUAGCUAGUUGGUAGGGUAAAGGCCUACCAAGGCAACGAUGGUUAGCGGGUCUGAGAGGAUGAUCCGCCACACUGGAACUGAAACACGGACCAGACUCCUACGGGAGGCAGCAGUGAGGAAUAUUGCGCAAUGGGGGAAACCCUGACGCAGCGACGCCGCGUGGAUGAUGAAGGCCUUCGGGUCGUAAAAUCCUGUCAGAUGGGAAGAAAUGCAUAGGGGAAUAAUACCUCUUAUGUUUGACGGGUACCAUCAAAGGAAGCACCGGCUAACUCCCGUGCCAGCAGCCGCGGGUAAUACCGGAAGGUGCAAACGUUGUUCGGAAUUACUGGGCCGUAAAGCGCGCGUAGGCGGCUUGUUAAG